rnacentral:RNase_P_RNA from 1 species
AAAGCAAGUAUUUCUAUCGCCAUUAUUAAAUUAAUGGAGGAAAGUCCGGGCAACAAAGAGCAAUUCGCCAUUUGAAAGGAUGGGUACAAAAGCAGAAAUGUUUUGUAACAGAGAGUGCCACAGAAAACCAAGUAGCCUAAGGUGUAAGCUGAGGGUGAUAGUGAAAAUGUGAGGUAAGAGCUCACAAGCAUAGUUAGCAAUAAUUGUGUUGGGUAAACCUCGAAUGUUGAAAGGCCAAAUAGGUUGUGGAUAUAAGGCUGCUCGUCUUAUUUCAGAAAUGAAGGCCACAAUGGGUAGGUCGCAAAGAUAAAUGAUAGAUAUAUUAUUCUUAACGAAUAAUGAAACAGAACCCGGCUUAUAAUACUUGUUUUUUUA